rnacentral:lncRNA from 1 species
GGAGAGAGGGCUUGCAGCCAAAAUAUAAUAAUACAAAUAACACUGCCAUUUACUCCAGCGAUGAUACUUGCAUUCUUUCAUUUGAUUCUCACAAUCCCUCUAAGGCAGGUACCAUUACCACAUUUUACAGAUGAAUACACUGAGGCUCAGGAUGACUGGGCAGCUUGCCUGAGGUCUAACAGGUUAAAAGACCUGAACCCAACUAUAUCCAAUUCCAAACGCACUACACUUUACUGCCUAUAAUCUUUCUUUUAGGGGUAGGGAAUGGGGCUCCAUCCUGGGAGCUGGCACAGCCCCAGGAACCUGGUGGGCCGUGGAGGUUGCUAUGGCAACACCAAUUAAAUGGAUAGCAGGUUGGCUGCUAGGUUCUCAUUCAGUUGGGAAGCAGUGAGCAAGCCUGCUAUCAGGUCCUGCUGCCCCAAAUUCUGCCUGACCCUGACCAGAGCUCCCACUCUAGCCAACUUCCUCCAGGCAGUCUUCCGCCUUGCCUACACCGACCAAUGUAACACAGGAACGGAGUGUUACUGAUCAGGGCCCAGAGGGAGGUGGGAAGAUAUGCAGGGCUUCACGUUGCCAAGAGGAUGAAAGUCACAAGUGGGCGUGGCAGGGCUUUGUUCCUUCUGAAGCUCAGGACAAAGCACUGGGCUUCCCUCCUGCCUGGGAGCCUUCAGGACGGCAUGGAGUUUGGCCACGUGGUGGAGCGCCCUGAGUGCGUGGCACAGAGUGUUCAACUGGUCACCUCUCCUGAGCCUCACAGCCUCUCAAGGAAGAUCUGAGGAGGAAACUGAGGCCCACCCCCACCCAGACUGAGGGGCAGGACUCACUGCAAGUGGCCUCGGACUCAUCGGAGCCGUCAGGACACUCCUCUUCACCGUCACACUUCCACCGUUCGUGGAUGCAGUGGCCGUUGUCACAGGAGAAGAAGACAAAAGGCGGUGAGGAGGAGCAACAAGAAGUCGUAAUGUAUGAAGAACCUGCAGCAGACUCAGGCACAUGGCAGAUGCUGGAGAAGUGGCAACUACUGUUGUUUUCAGGGUUUGAGUCUUAAUUAGAAGCUGAAGGAAUGGGGUUCUGUGUCCACACAGGGGAUGCAGCAGGCUGAGAGCUCACAGCUGGUUACGGAGCUGAGAUAAGAAUGCAGGUACCAUCCCCAGCCCGGUUCUUUACUGCCUUCUGUGUCUUGUCCUAUGAGGAACUAGAGUUUCCAGAUCAAUGAGAGGAAACAGAGAUGGAUGCCCAUGUCAUAAGGUGCCCCAGCUUCUUCCCAAGCAGCAGCACAGCACUGGGUGCACCUAGCAGGCCCGGGGGAGAGCCGUUGCCCUGUCAGGACUUCCACGGGGGAACUGAGGCUGCCUGGCUACCCCCAAGCCCUAGGCCUCUGAAUUAUUGGGGGCUCAUCUGCAUCAAAGCUGCAUUGAACUCACACAUGCCCUGUUCCUGCUGGACCAAGCAUCCAGGGCCCGCUACAGAACAAGGUGAGGAAGAGAGCACUGGGCAGGGAGUCCGGAGGUCUGGAUUUGAGUCACUGCUGUGCUAUUUUGCUCUGUAUCCUCAAGCACAUCAUGGCCCUUUUCGGGCCUACAGUUUCUUCAUCAGGAAAAGAGAGGGUGAUCUGGUGAGAGAUAAGCUUUCAGGUGUGGUAGUUCGAGAUCAGGAGGCCCAGAAAUGAAGACGGCAGGGGGGUCUCUUUUCAGCCUAAAAGACGAUACCUCAGCACAGCAGUGACUUACCCCAGGCCUUGGGGCGCUCAGACCACCAAAGUCCUCCCCUGGAAUGAGCUUGGGAUGGAUUUAACAUCAGGGGCCACUAGGAUGUGGCCUCUCCCCAGGGGCUUAGAAGUCCUGUGGCCCCAGCCUGCCCCGCUCCCUCAUCUUCCCCUCCUCAUACUUCCCAAUCUAGCCCCACCUCAACUGCCAGUGGGUCCUCAUAUACUCCAUGCUUUUUAUACCAUCAUACCUUGCCCAAGCUGUCUUUAGUCUGAAAGCCCCUUCCCCCACCUCUCGCCUUCUUUCCAUUACACACUGGGCUUAAGUAUCACCUCCAGUCUUGAUCGGUAGCCUCUCCUGAGCUCCUACAAUCCCCUGAAUGUCCUUCUAGGGCAGAGGUUGGCAAACUUUUUCUGUGAAGGGCCAGAUAGUAGCUAUUUAGGCUUUGAGGGCCAAAUGGUCUCG